rnacentral:rRNA from 1 species
AUGCCAUGGUUAGUGGCAGGGGACUUUGAUGAAAUCUUGCAAGCUCAUGAGAAAGAAGGGGGGCGGCGCCCUCAACGAUGUAUGCAGGCCUUUAGCAGUGCGCUGAGCGACUGCGGGCUUGACGAUCUCGGUUAUUCGGGCGACAUUUUCAGCUGGCGUAGAGGUCGAAAUCGAGAGCGACUUGAUAGAGCUGUUUCGAGUAGCUCUUGGGCUCAUCUCUUCCCAGCAUAUGGUGUUUCAAAUGAACCGUUUAAUAAAUCAGACCACCGGCCGAUCCUAAUUGAUACUGACUUCCAGCAAGGCUUACAACUAAGGGGUCCGCCGGGACUGAGGAAAUUUGAAGCAAGGUGGCUUGUGAAGGAAGAUGUGGAGGUGAUAGUUCAAGGUACCUGA